UUCCCUGCAGCCAAAUGUGACUCCACGAUCCGUGAGUUCCGUCUCCUCCCUGGAAUUCCUUCAAUUCCCCCCAAAUUUGGGGCCUGAGAGGAGAAACAACCCCUGGGGGUCAAACCCAAAUUCCUGGGAAAAAAGGGGCAAAAUCCCAUGGGAAGGGGGGGAAAAAUCCACCAGGAAUUAAUGGGAUUUCCUGCUUUUCCAGGACUUUUCACGGUGGAACUCGGUGAGUCCCUCCUUCAACUUUAAUUCAAUUACCCCAAACCAAUUCCAACCUGAGAAAUACCCCCAAAAUUGGCUUUUUUUUGUCCUUUUUCCCCUCAUUUUCAGGUGAGAGACACACGAAAAUCGGGGAGCUCACAGCAGAUGUUGAGUGCUGCAAGAAAAAGCUCCGGGAACAUGAGGAGGAACUGGAGGCCCGAGACACCCAAAUCCGUGAGUAUUUUCCAGUUUUGUGUUUGUUUGUUUAGACUUUUAAAAGGAAAUCAUUUAUUUCAAUCCCUUUCUCCUUCCAGGGGAGAACGAGGCCGAGAUCAGUAAGUCAGAAAUUCAGAUGUUAUUUUACCUUAUUAAAUACUAUAGAAUGAUAAAACAGCCCAUAAAUGGAAUUAUAUCCAUAAAUUUGAAUUAAAUUGAAUUAAUCUCUCUCUGCCUCCCCCAGGGCGCCUGAAGGAGCAGCUGGGUGAGUGUACCACCCCCGUUUUUAGGGUCCCAAACUCACAUUUUUAGGGCCCAAACCCACAUUUUUAAGGCCCAAAGCUCAUUUUAAAGGCCCAAACCCCCAUUUUUAGGGUUCCAAACCCCCAUU
rnacentral:lncRNA from 1 species